rnacentral:rRNA from 1 species
UCAAUGGGCGAAAGCCUGACGCAGCAACGCCGCGUGAGUGAUGAAGGCUUUCGGGUCGUAAAGCUCUGUCGAGGGGAAAGAAGUGUAUUGUGGCUAAUACCCGCGAUACUUGACGGUACCCCUAAAGGAAGCACCGGCUAACUCCGUGCCAGCAGCCGCGGUAAUACGGGGGGUGCAAGCGUUGUUCGGAAUUAUUGGGCGUAAAGCGCGUGUAGGCGGUCUGAUUAGUCUGAUGUGAAAGCCCUGGGCUCAACCCAGGAAGUGCAUUGGAUACUGUCAGACUUGAAUACGGGAGAGGGUAUUGGAAUUCCUAGUGUAGGAGUGAAAUCCGUAGAUAUUAGGAGGAACACCGGUGGCGAAGGCGGCUACCUGGACCGAUAUUGACGCUGAGACGCGAACGGGUUUUACAAAG